GAUAAUUACCAUGAAUAAAGAUUACUAGAUCCAUGCAUCCUUAUUGAUAAUGAUCAAAUGAACAGACUCAUUGCAUGAAACCUAUAUCCAUAUAUAAGCUCUAAAGCCAAGUUCUUUAUCAUAGAAACUGUAUUUGAAAUUGUUCACUGACAAACCACUUCAAAAGUAUCAUGCGCCAGAAGGAUGAUAAAACUGAUAAACUGAAGAGUGUAACUAGCACACGCAAUCAAUAAAACCAAAGAAUUUAUGAAAAAAAAUGCGUAUCUCAAAGUAUCAGAAAACAAAGAAAAUUAUGUGAAUGCAGAAGGAUUAAAAACACAUGCAUAUUAUACCAUAGGACCACAAUCAUAAACGUGGAAACAAAUUUAUGAACAUACUUCCUCCUCGAGAAGCAAUGCUA
rnacentral:misc_RNA from 1 species